rnacentral:rRNA from 1 species
GACGAACGCUGGCGGCGUGCCUAAUACAUGCAAGUAGAACGCUGAAGGAGGAGCUUGCUUCUCCGGAUGAGUUGCGAACGGGUGAGUAACGCGUAGGUAACCUGCCUGGUAGCGGGGGAUAACUAUUGGAAACGAUAGCUAAUACCGCAUAAGAGUAGAUGUCGCAUGACAUUUGCUUAAAAGGUGCAACUGCACCACUACCAGAUGGACCUGCGUUGUAUUAGCUAGUCGGUGAGGUAACGGCUCACCAAGGCAACGAUACAUAGCCGACCUGAGAGGGUGAUCGGCCACACUGGGACUGAGACACGGCCCAGACUCCUACGGGAGGCAGCAGUAGGGAAUCUUCGGCAAUGGACGGAAGUCUGACCGAGCAACGCCGCGUGAGUGAAGAAGGUUUUCGGAUCGUAAAGCUCUGUUGUAAGAGAAGAACGAGUGUGAGAGUGGAAAGUUCACACUGUGACGGUAUCUUACCAGAAAGAGACGGCUAACUACGUG